AACUUUCAACAAUGGAUCUCUUGGCUCUCGCAUCGAUGAAGAACGCAGCGAAAUGCGAUAAGUAAUGUGAAUUGCAGAAUUCAGUGAAUCAUCGACUCUUUGAACGCACCUUGCACCCUUUGGCAUUCCGAAGGGUAUGCUCGUUUGAGUGUCAUUGUACUCUCACACUCCCGAUGCUUUUGGAUUGGGAGUGGUGGACUUGGGUGUUGCUGCUUUACUGUGGCUCACCUCAAAUGGAGUAGUGCAACUCUUGGUUGGACAUAGUACGGCAUGAUAAGUGUCUUCGCCCGCGCCUCAUUAGAGGGUGGCCGAUCGGGAGCUCUGUGCUUCAAACCGUCUUCGGACAACAUCUGACAACUUGACCUCAAAUCGAGUAGGACUACCCGCUGAAUUUAAGCAUAUCAAUAAGCGGAGGCU
rnacentral:misc_RNA from 1 species